UACGGAAGGCAGCAGUGGGGAAUAUUGGACAAUGGGCGAAAGCCUGAUCCAGCCAUGCCGCAUGAGUGAAGAAGGCCUUCGGGUUGUAAAGCUCUUUUAGUGAGAAAGAUAAUGACGGUACUCACAGAAGAAGUCCUGGCUAACUCCGUGCCAGCAGCCGCGGUAAUACGGAGAGGGCUAGCGUUAUUCGGAAUUAUUGGGCGUAAAGAGCGCGUAGGCUGAUUAGUAAGUUAAAAGUGAAAUCCCAAAGCUUAACUUUGGAAUUGCUUUUUAAAACUGCUAGUCUAGAGAUUGAAAGAGGAUAGAGGAAUUCCUAGUGUAGAGGUGAAAUUCGUAAAUAUUAGGAGGAACACCAGUGGCGAAGGCGUCUAUCUGGUUCAAAUCUGACGCUGAGGCGCGAAGGGCGUGGGGAGCAAAACAGGGAUUAGAUA
rnacentral:rRNA from 1 species